rnacentral:rRNA from 1 species
AUUGAACGCUGGCGGCAUGCUUUACACAUGCAAGUCGAACGGUAACAGGCCUUCGGGUGCUGACGAGUGGCGAACGGGUGAGUAAUGCAUCGGAACGUGCCCAAUCGUGGGGGAUAACGUAGCGAAAGUUACGCUAAUACCGCAUAAGCCCUGAGGGGGAAAGUGGGGGACCGCAAGGCCUCACGCGAAUGGAGCGGCCGAUGUCAGAUUAGCUAGUUGGUGGGGUAAAGGCCCACCAAGGCGACGAUCUGUAGCGGGUCUGAGAGGAUGAUCCGCCACACUGGGACUGAGACACGGCCCAGACUCCUACGGGAGGCAGCAGUGGGGAAUUUUGGACAAUGGGCGCAAGCCUGAUCCAGCCCAUGCCGCGUGCGGGACGAAGG